UGUCAUUAAAAAAAAGUGCAUGUCAUUUUAGCAAAUGGGCUCAACCGGCUACUUAGUCGGUAGCCAGUCUGGCGGUAAACACAAUACCUGUCUAUGGUGUGUUAUAAUAAUGUUGAUUUGUUAAAACAAAAGGAAAUAAAAGAAGUAUAUCACGUUUUCGAUGAGCAAAUUGUCCGAAUGCAGGGAUAUAAUAUAAUAUACAAUAACGGCAGCUUUAAUUAGUGUGAUGGAGUUAUUGUUUUUAUUAAAGAGGCAAUAACACAUAAA